CUCAAGACUUUUAAUAAGGAAACAUCAUAGUUCAAAUUAAAAUACAAUUACAAAAUGUUCUAAAUAUUGUGUUAUGCGUUUCAUCUUCAUAAACUUAACCCAGAUAAUAAAACCCUCCAAAUUAGUACAUGAUACAUUUACAUUUUUUAAAUGUAAUAAAAAUAAAUCAGUGAUGCAGCUGUUGUAAACAGAGGCCUCCUAUGACAAACUUUGAGGCUGAUAAAUAUUCAAAAUGUGUUAAUUGUAAAAAGUUUAUUGGCAUACAUAAGUGCAAUCUUUACCAACUUCCAACUUAACCA